rnacentral:rRNA from 1 species
CGACGCUCUUCCGAUCUGCACGGUGGAUGCCUAGGCAGUCAGAGGCGAUGAAGGACGUGGUAACCUGCGAAAAGCUUUGGGAAGGUGGUAAACAACCUAUGAUCCAGAGAUAUCCGAAUGGGGAAACCCACCCAGCGUAAGCUGGGUAUCUUAUACUGAAUACAUAGGUAUAAGAGGCGAACCGGGAGAACUGAAACAUCUAAGUACCCCGAGGAAAAGAAAUCAAUUGAGAUUCCCCUAGUAGCGGCGAGCGAACGGGGAUUAGCCCUUAAGUUUAUUAUGUUUUAGCGGAAGUAGCUGGAAAGUUACGCCAUAGUGGGUGAUAGCCCCGUACGCGAAAAGGCAUUUUAGAUGAAAACGAGUAGGUCGGGACACGAGAAAUCUUGACUGAACAUGGGGGGACCAUCCUCCAAGGCUAAAUACUCCUGACUGACCGAUAGUGAACCAGUACCGUGAGGGAAAGGCGAAAAGAACCCCUGUGAGGGGAGUGAAAUAGAUCCUGAAACCGUGUACGUACAAGCAGUGGGAGCGGUCCUUGAGACCGUGACUGCGUACCUUUUGUAUAAUGGGUCAGCGACUUACAUUUUGUAGCGAGGUUAAGCGAAUAGCGGAGCCGUAGGGAAACCGAGUGUUAACUGCGCGUUUAGUUGCAAGGUGUAGACCCGAAACCCGGUGAUCUAUCCAUGGGCAGGUUGAAGAUUGAGUAACAUCAAUUGGAGGACCGAACCGACUUAUGUUGAAAAAUGAGCGGAUGACUUGUGGAUGGGGGUGAAAGGCCAAUCAAACCGGGAGAUAUCUGGUUCUCCUCGAAAGCUAUUUAGGUAGCGCCUCGAGCGAAUACCAUUGGGGGUAGAGCACUGUUAAGGCUAGGGGGUCAUCCCGACUUACCAACCCUUUGCAAACUCCGAAUACCAAUGAGUACUACUCGGGAGACACACGGCGGGUGCUAACGUCCGUCGUGAAAAGGGAAACAACCCAGACCGUCAGCUAAGGUCCCAAAGUUAUUGCUAAGUGGGAAACGAUGUGGGAAGGCUUAGACAGCUAGGAUGUUGGCUUAGAAGCAGCCAUCAUUUAAAGAAAGCGUAAUAGCUCACUAGUCAAGUCGUCCUGCGCGGAAGAUGUAACGGGGCUAAAUUGAUAACCGAAGCUGCGGAUAGAACUUAGGUUCUAUGGUAGAGGAGCGUUCUGUAGGCCAAUGAAGGUGUCUUGAGAAGGAUGCUGGAGGUAUCAGAAGUGCGAAUGCUGACAUGAGUAGCGUUAAAGCGGGUGAAAAGCCCGCUCGCCGAAAGUCCAAGGUUUCCUACGCAACGUUAAUCGGCGUAGGGUGAGUCGGCCCCUAAGGUGAGGCAGAGAUGCGUAGCCGAUGGGAAACAGGUUAAUAUUCCUGUACCGAUGUAUAGUGCGAUGUGGGGACGGAGAAGGUUAGGUUAGCCAACUGUUGGAAAUGUUGGUUUAAGCGUGAAGGUGUGUAUCUUAGGCAAAUCCGGGAUACUAUAACACUGAGGCGUGAUGACGAGGUGCUACGGCACUGAAGUAAUUGAUACCAUGCUUCCAGGAAAAGCCACUAAGCUUCAGCUAUAUAUUGACCGUACCGCAAACCGACACUGGUGGACGAGAUGAGUAUUCUAAGGCGCUUGAGAGAACUCUGGAGAAGGAACUCGGCAAAUUGACACCGUAACUUCGGAAGAAGGUGUGCCUUUAGUAGGUGAAGUCCCUCGCGGAUGGAGCCCAAUGAGGUUGCAAAAAAUCGGUGGCUGCGACUGUUUAUUAAAAACACAGCACUCUGCAAACACGAAAGUGGACGUAUAGGGUGUGACGCCUGCCCGGUGCUGGAAGAUUAAAUGAUGGGGUGCAAGCUCUUGAUUGAAGUCCCAGUAAACGGCGGCCGUAACUAUAACGGUCCUAAGGUAGCGAAAUUCCUUGUC